CCUACGGGAGGCAGCAGUGGGGAAUAUUGGUCAAUGGGCGCGAGCCUGAACCAGCCAAGUAGCGUGAAGGAUGACUGCCCUACGGUUUGUAAACUUCUUUUAUAAAGGAAUAAAGUGAGGCGCGUGUGCCUUUUUGUAUGUCCUUUAUGAAUAAGGAUCGGCUAACUCCGUGCCAGCAGCCGCGGUAAUACGGAGGAGCCGAGCGUUAUCCGGAUGUAUUGGGUUUAAAGGGAGCGUAGAUGGGUUGUUAAGUCAGUUGUGAAAGUUUGCGGCUCAACCGUAAAAUUGCAAUUGAUACUGGCAGCCUUGAGUACAGGUGAGGCAGGCGGAAUUCGUGGUGUAGCGGUGAAAUGCUUAGAUAUAACGAAGAACUCCGAUUGCGAAGGCAGACUACUAAACUGCCACUGACAUUGAUGCUCGAAAGUGUGGGUAUCAAACAGGAUUAGAUACCCGAGUAGUC
rnacentral:rRNA from 1 species